rnacentral:lncRNA from 1 species
AGGAGCUGAAAUGUUGAGUACAUAAGGACACAGAGAAGGGAAUCAUAGCCACUAGGUCCUAUUUGAUGGUGGAAGAUGAGAGGAGUGUGAGGAUUGAAAAGCUACCUUUCAGGUGAUUUGUUGGACACACCAAUGCUCCUGACACAUGCUAUUCACUUGGAGCAGCUCCUCUUAUGUGGCACAUUCACAGUGCAACGGCUCUGCAAGAAGCAUGGCCCCAGCAUCUGCUUCUGGUGAGGCCUCAGGAAGCAUUCAGUUGUGGAGGAAGACAAAGGAGGAGCAGUUGCGCUAUACAGCAAAAGAGGAGGAGGCAGGAAAAGGAGGAGGAGGUAGCCGGCUCUUUGUAACCAGCAGACCUCCCAUAACUAAUGGAGUGAUAACUCACUCAUUACUGCCAGAAAGGCAAGAAGGCAUUCAUGAGGGAUCUGUACCUACAACGCAAAGUCCUCCCACUCCUUCUAUUGUGGGCUACCUAAAAAUGGAACAUAUUAACUUCCAAGAUAUUUGGGUGCACAGAUAUUAAAAAUAAAAUAAGCUGCCACACACUAAUGGAA